UCGAACCACCUAGUAGCUGGUUCCCGCCGAAGUUUCUCCCAGGAUAGCGGAUUUGUCACACGGCUUCGACGUUUCGAGCAAUGGUUCGUGCACCAGGGGGUUAUAUACCUUCGGGCAGGUCUCAUACUACAAAGCGUCGACCUGUACUCUGUUCAGAGUUCUUAGUAGCGUACAAAUCUCGUGGACCGUUUUUGGUAAGCAGAUACGGUGAUGUGGUAAACUCCAUGUCUCACGUUAAGGUGUGAAAUAAUCGGGUUUCAAAGGUUAUCUGCGCAUUUAGACAGUCCGACGGUGGCCAUGGAAGUUGGAAUCCGCUAAGGAGUGUGUAACAACUCACGGACCGAAUGCGCAGGGUCCGAAAAUGGAACGCUUUUCUCCGGUUGACCAAUUCGUGAGUGUCCAUCGCUUUGAUUGGACAGGUAGGUGGGCACUCCUCAUGCUACGUCAUGCUGUAAAGGUGACAAUAGCUUGAGGGGGUGCAGAUCUUCAUGGUAGUAGUCGUCUUACAUGCAGAGCACGGAAGUAGAAAAGGUUUUCUGGGCAACAACUUGACCCAGAGUUAGUCGGUGCUAACUGUGUGACAACAGGAAAGCAUAGCGCAUUCGCGCACGGAUUCGGUCUGCAUGGCGACAAUAAUACGUUCAUAUAACCUGUUGAUCUGUCCCUUAGCUUUUUUGACGAAGGCUUUAACUGUAUAUUUUGAUGGGGAAGGACAUUACGUCGAGAACCAUCUAGCUGCAGAAAUACUCCAUUCUUUGUAGUGGGCAGUUCAUCAGGUUCGUUUUUUGAACUUUCGUUGAUCAAUCCUCCGUACCCACAUCCGCAUCAGGUCUCUGGGGUGCAAAGCCCAUCGUGAUGGUACAAAAUAGGCCAGGGAAGUCGGCAAACUAGAUUCGUAACCUUGGGAUAAGGAUUGGCUCUGCCAUUUCGGCGUAACCGUUUAUUCGGCUGCCCGAGGCAGAACUGAGGCCGCAUGGGGAAUCCGACAGUUUAACUAAAACCUAGCAUUCUGAUAGGAAUUGUCCAUAUUACAGUAUGUGAGUUCUGCCCGGUGCCUUGACUGUUACGGUGAUGCAGGUCAUCCAAGCGCGGGUUAACGGCAGGCGUAACUAUGACGCUUUCAACGUAGCGAAAUGCCUCGUCAUCUAAUUAGUGACUCGCAUGAACGGAUCAACGAGAUUCCCACUGUCCCAGUCUGUUGUCCAACGAACCCACUGCUCGAGGAACGGGUCGAGCUGAGACAGAACGGCAAGAAGACCCUGUUGAGGUUGACUCCAACUACUACAGUUUCGCACAUGGCAUGGUGUAGAGUAUGUGGGAGCCGCAAGGCGUCGAUGAAACACCACAACUUGUCACUGAGCGGGACCUACCCAUUUAUACCAUGAUUAUUCUACCGGUAAAUGUGGGGAAAAUUAGUGGCGGGGAGUUUGGCUGGGGCGGUACAUCUGUUAAAACAAACCACAGGUGUCCAAUCUCUACCUCAGUCGGGAGGGAAAUCCGACGUAGACCAAAAAGGGAAAUGGUAGAGAGAUGAAUUCGUCUAAAGGCCGAAUUCAACGUGAAAGCGCGGCUUAUCGAUCCUUUCAUUUGGCGGAAAGCGCGGUGAGAGGUGCCUGAAAACUUACCACAGGGAUAACUGAUUUGUGGCAGCCAAGCGUUCAUAGCGACGUUGCUUUUUGAUCCUUCGAUGUCGGCUCUUCGUAUCAUGGUGUUGUAGAAUGCUGCAAGUGUUAGAUUGUUCACCUAUUAAUAGGGAUCGUGAGCUGGGUUUAGACCGUCGUUAGACAGGUUAGUUUUGUCCUU
rnacentral:rRNA from 1 species